UACGAAGGGGGCUAGCGUUGCUCGGAAUCACUGGGCGUAAAGGGUGCGUAGGCGGGUCUUUAAGUCAGGGGUGAAAUCCUGGAGCUCAACUCCAGAACUGCCUUUGAUACUGAAGAUCUUGAGUUCGGGAGAGGUGAGUGGAACUGCGAGUGUAGAGGUGAAAUUCGUAGAUAUUCGCAAGAACACCAGUGGCGAAGGCGGCUCACUGGCCCGAUACUGACGUUGAGGCACGAAAGCGUGGGGAGCAAACAGG
rnacentral:rRNA from 1 species